rnacentral:rRNA from 1 species
GGGUUGUGAGGUUAAGCGACUAAGCGUACACGGUGGAUGCCACAGCAGUCAGAGGCGAUGAAGGACGUGCUGAAUCUGCGAUAGCGUCGGUAGGUGAUAUGAACCGUUAUAACCGGCGAUUUCCGAAUGGGAAACCCAGUGUGAUUCGUCACACUAUGCAUUAACGAUCCAUAGGUUAAUGAGGCGAACCGGGGGAACUGAAACAUCUAAGUACCCCGAGGAAAGAAAUCAACCGAGAUUCCCCAGUAGCGGCGAGCGAACGAGGGCAGCCCAGAGCCUGAAUCGGUGUGUGUGUGUUAGUGGAAGCGUCUGGAAAGGCGCGCGCGAUACAGAGCAGCCCCGUACACAAAAAUGCACAUGCUGUGAGCUCGAUAGUAGGGCGGGACACGUGGUAUCCUGUCUGAAUAUGGGGGACCAUCCUCAAGGCUAAAUACUCCUGACUGACCGAUAGUGAACCAGUACCGUGAGGGAAAGGCGAAAAGAACCCCGGCGAGGGAGUGAAAAAGAACCUGAAACCGUGGCCGUACAAGCAGUGGGAGCACGCUUAGGCGUGUGACUGCGUACCUUUUGUAUAAUGGGUCAGCGACUUAUAUUCUGUAGCAAGGUUAACCGAAUAGGGAGCCGAAGGGAAGCCGAGUCUUAACUGGGCGUUAGAGAUUGCAAAAUUUAUAGACGAAACCCGGUGAUCUAGCCAUGGGCAGGUUGAAGUUGGGUAACACUAAUGGAGGACCGAACCGACUAAUGUUGAAAAAUUAGCGGAUGACUUGUGGCGCGGGGUGAAAGGCCAAUCAAACCGGGAGAUAGCUGGUUCUCCCCGAAAGCUUCGUAGGUAGCGCCUCGUGAAUUCAUCUCCGGGGGUAGAGCACUGUUUCGGCAGGGGUCCUCCCGACUUACCAACCCGAUGCAAACUGCGAAUACCGGAGUAUUAUCUGGGAGACACACGGCAGUGUAACGUCCGUCGUGAAGAGGAAAACAACCCAGACCGCCAGCUAAGGUCCCAAAGUGUGGUUAAGUGGGAAACGAUGUGGGAAGGCCCAGACUGGCGAGGAUGUUGGCUUAAGCAGCCAUCAUUUAAAGAAAGCGUAAUAGCUCACUGGUCGAGUCGGCCUGCGCGGAAGAUGUAACGGGGGCUAAACCAUGCACCGAAGCUGCGGCAGCGACGCUGAUGCGUUGUUGGUAGGGAGCGUUCUGUAAGCCUGCGAAGGUGUGCUGUGAGGCAUGCUGGAGGUAUCAAGUGCGAAUGCUGACAUAAGUAACGAUAAAGCGGGUGAAAAGCCCGCUCGCCGGAAGACCAGGGUUUCCUGUCCAGCAUGUGGGGCGGGGUGAGUCGACCCCUAGGCGAGGCCGAAAGGCGUAGAUCGAUGGGAAACAGGUUAAUAUUCCUGGCCGCGGGUAUUUACUGCGAAGGGGACGAAGGCUAUGUUAUUGGGCGACGGUUGUCCCAGUUUUAAGCGUGUGAAGCUGGUUUUCGGGCAAAUCCGGAAAAAUCAAGGCUGAGGCGUGAUGACGAGAACUACGGUGCUGAAGCAACAAAUGCCCACUGCUUCAAGGAAAGCCUCUAAGCAUCAGGUAACAUCAAAUCGUACCCCAAACCGACACAGGUGGUCGGGUAGAAUACCAAGGCGCUUGAGAGAGAACUCGGGUGAAGGAACUAGGCAAAAUGGUGCCGUAACUUCGGGAGGAAAGGCACCUUUGAUAUGUAGGUGAAGUCCCUCGCGGAUGGAGCGGCUGAAAUCGUCGAGAAGGCGCCAGCUGGCUGCAACUGUUUAUUAAAACACAGCACUGUGCAAGCCUGAAAGUGGACGUAUACGGUGUGACGCCUGCCCGGUGCGGAAGGUUGCAUUGAUGCCAGGUUAGCGCAAGCGAGAAAGCUCUUGAUCGAAGCCCCGGUAAACGGCGGCCGUAACUAUAACGGUCCUAAAGGUAGCGAAAUUCCUUGUCGGGUAAGUUCCGACCUGCGAAUGGCGUAAUGAUGGCGGGCACAAUACGAGACUCGGUGAAAUUGAACUCGCUGUGAAGAUGCAGUGUACCCGCGGCAGACGGAAAGACCCCGUGAACCUUUACUAUAGCUUGACACUGAACAUUGAGCCUUGAUGUGUGUAGGAUAGGUGGGAGGCUUUGAAGUGUGGACGCCAGUCUGCAUGGAGCAACGCCCGAAAUAUACCCUUUAAUGUUUGAUGUUCUAACGUUGACCCGUAAUCCGGGUUGCGGACAGUGUCUGGUGGGUAGUUUGACUGGGGGCGGUCUCUCUAAAGAGUAACGGAGGAGCACGAAAGUUGGCCUAAUCUGGUCGGACAUCAGGAGGUGGUGCAAUGGCAUAAGCCGAAGCGACUGCGAGCACGUGACGGCGCGAGCAGGUGCGAAAGCAGGUCAUAGUGAUCCGGUGGUUCUGAAUGGAAGGAGGCCAUCGCUCAGCAAUUAAAAGGUACUCCGGGGAUAACAGGCUGAUACCGCCCAAGAGUUCCUUAUCGACGGCGGUGUUUGGCACCUCGAUGUCGGCUCAUCACAUCCACGGGGCUGAAGUAGGUCCCAAGGGUAUGGCUGUUCGCCAUUUAAAGUGGUACGCGACUGGGUUUAGAACGUCGUGAAGACAGUUCGGUCCCUAUGCCGUGGGCGCUGGAGAGGUGAAGGGGGGCUGCUCCUAGUACCUUGAGAGGACCGGAGUGGACGCAUCACUGGUGUUCGGUUGUCAUGCCAAUGGCACUGCGAAGUAGCUAAAUGCGGAAGAGAUAAGUGCUGAAAACAUCUAAGCACGAAACUUGCCCCGAGAUGAGUUCUCUGACUCCUUGAGGUCCUGAAGGAACGUUGAAGACGACGACGUUGAUAGGCCGGGUGUGUAAGCGCAGCGAUGCGUUGAGCUAACCGGUACUAAUGAACCGUGAGGCUUAACCUUACAACGCCGAAGGUGUUU